rnacentral:misc_RNA from 1 species
AACGCACAUUGCGCCCCUUGGUAUUCCGAGGGGCAUGCCUGUUCGAGCGUCAUUAUGACCACUCAAGCCUGGCUUGGUAUUGGGGUUCGCGGUCCCGCGGCUCUUAAAAUCAGUGGCGGUGCCAUCUGGCUCUAAGCGUAGUAAUUUUUCUCGCUACAGGGUCCCAGUGGAUGCUUGCCAGCAACCCCCCAUUUUCUUAGGUUGACCUCGGAUCAGGUAGGGAUACCCGCUGAACUUAA